GACGAACGCUGGCGGCGUGCUUAACACAUGCAAGUCGAACGGAAAGGCCCUGCUUUUGUGGGGUGCCCGAGUGGCGAACGGGUGAGUAACACGUGAGUAACCUGCCCUUGACUUUGGGAUAACUUCAGGAAACUGGGGCUAAUACCGGAUAGGAGCUCCUGCUGCAUGGUGGGGGUUGGAAAGUUUCGGCGGUUGGGGAUGGACUCGCGGCUUAUCAGCUUGUUGGUGGGGGAGGGGCUUACCAAGGCUUUGACGGGUAGCCGGCCUGAGAGGGUGACCGGCCACAUUGGGACUGAGAUACGGCCCAGACUCCUACGGGAGGCAGCAGUGGGGAAUAUUGCACAAUGGGCGGAAGCCUGAUGCAGCAACGCCGCGUGCGGGAUGACGGCCUUCGGGUUGUAAACCGCUUUCGCCUGUGACGAAGCGUGAGUGACGGUAAUGGGUAAAGAAGCACCGGCUAACUACGUG
rnacentral:rRNA from 1 species